ensembl:lncRNA
AAUGUAUUGUGAUUAUUUAACGUCAUUACUAGUAUUCUGAGACUCCCAAGCAUGCUCCUGAAGUAGGUCGAGAUAUCUUUAUUUGUUAAACUGAGCAUUCACACUCUCCCCACUGUAGUUUCCUGUCACGUCUCAUUUAAGAUGUUAAUUAACAGUAAAUUCUAUAAUACCAUAAGAAAUACCAAAGAAAGAAGUUACAGUAAAUGUUCAUUGGCCAGGGGACUUUAACCAAUAAUAUCCACAAACAAUAAUGCACCUAUACUGCCAGUAGGGGCAUUAAAAUUUCACAUAAUCUUGAUUUUGAUGUAUGUGUGUGCGCGUGUGUGUGUGUCUGUGCAAACGUGGCCGCAGCUUGUUAAACAGAUGCAUUCUGACAGGAAAUCGAGGAAGACAUGCUGACUGUCAACACUUGACUGCCAGCAUAACAAAAUAAGGUCAUAAUUAUCUAUUGAAGUCGUUCAUUGCUAAAGAGUAUCAAGAAGAACGCCAUCCCUCCAUCACCAAUCUACUUUAAACAUAAGAGCAGCUCUCCAUUAGGUAUCACUUGGGGGGGAACUACACUUCAUAGCUUAAGCGAAACCAAGGAACUGUUGAUUCAGACAGGCUAUAGAUGUAAGACGACAAAGACAAACCAGUUCCUGUCUCUCUGGUGGUGUAGCUAACUUCCUGUGCCUCUGCUGCUGCUUGUGUUUGACGCUCUCUGUCAUCUGUGAGACUGCUGUUUUCACAGAUAUGGAUUUUUUGAUGACAGAUCCAACAUAUAAACUUCUUAUCUUUUUAUUCAUGAUACCAGGAAUGUACGGAGAUAUUAUAAAUUAUAAUGCUGCCACAAUUGCUGUGGAGGGACAGAACAUCAGCCUGCAGUGCAUUGUGGGAGAGGAGCAAAACAUCACAAUUAUCCAGCUGGAAUGGAUUAAACAGCAAAAACCAAAUGAGAAGAACGAUCAGAAGAUUGUUGUGUUCCAUCCUAUGUUGCCAACAUAUUAUUUUCGAUCCGGUUCUCUUCUGGAGACAGUGACCAGUUCAAAAACUGGGAAGCUGCAGGGCUCAAUCCUGACUCUGCAUGAAGUUACAGUGAAUGACAGUGGAAAUUAUAUUUGCGAAAUUACUUCUUAUCCCAAUGGCUCAAUUAAAAGAAUCACAAAGCUGCAAGUGACAGAGCCUCCAGCAUCAGUGAGGAUGCCAUAUCCAUAUGGAUUCAUAAAAGAGGGGGAUGAUAUGAAAAUAACUUGUUCAGCGAUCCCUCCACCACUCCAUUAUAAACUUGGAAGGUCAAAGGACCAGACAUUUUGGCUGGAAAGCUCAAACGGAGAGUUCAUUUUACCAAACGUCACCAGAAAUGACAGCGAUGUGUACAUCUGUUUACCUGAAUGGGACUCAUUAGUCCGAAAUCAGCAAGGUCUCAAUGCCACCGUCGAACUGACUGUGAAUUUUCUUGAUGGCAUUGAGUGUAACACAAGCAGCCCUUUAAACGUCAGCGCUGGUGAGGAUGUAGCGAUUUCUUGUAUCGCAAAAGCUUCACAGCACUUGCAGUAUAAGUGGAUGAGGGGUGACAAAAUACUGUCUCUCUCAGACACUUUGUCUCUGACCUCCGUAACAUCUGACCAGUCAGGAACAUACAAACUGACAGCUGUCUUUCUGGACAAUCAACUCCAGACAGACAUGGAGAUUUUUAUCCAGGUUCUCUCAAAGCAAAGUGAAGGAAUGACAACUCCUUUCCCAGUAAGGACCACCAAACAUCUGAGCAGCUUUACCUCCAAUGGGACCAGCUCAUGGAGCACUGAUACCACUGUGUCUACAUCACAAUCUGGUCACUUGCUAGCCAGCACAGUGAAACCAAAUGCCACUCUGACAACCUUACAACCCAGAUACACCAGCCAUCCCACUCCUCUCACUGGCAGCUCUUCUGCUCCACCUGUUGGCAAUGCAUCUACAUUACAUGCAAGCACUGUAAAAUCUAUAGACACCUCUACAGACAGUUUGAGCACAACUCCAGAUCCAGCUACAAGAAGAAGAGAAAGAAUCAAUGCAACCUCAAAAAGCUCAGCAUACAUCGCUGUCCCAAUCGUGUUGCUGUUGCUCGUGUUGAUUGUGCUUUUAUACAGAAGACACCAGAACCAAAAAAAAAUGGAUUUGCCACCUCCAUUCAAACCUCCCCCACCACCAGUGAAAUACACAUCAGUGAGGAAUCAUGAUGUCCCUAUGACUGAUAUUCUAGUGUGAAUGUAUAAUGCUCUUGAGAACCCACAAACCGUGGGCCACAAAUAUGCUGACAGGAAGAUUUUUCCCUUAAGGCCUCACCCAAAAAUUUAAAUUGUUUAAUCCAUUAUAUUUCAUCAAUACUUUGACACUUUAAAAAGUUUAUAAAGACAUUGUAAAUGUUAGCAAUUAGAAUCUUGUUGUUGAAUUUAAAACGUCUUCUAAAGAGACAGAUUUAAUUUUAAAGCUUUUAUUAACAUAUAAAAACGUUGAUCAAAACUCAAGCCACAUCAAAUAUGUUUAAAAAAUGUGAUUUGAAGUUAAACGGAAGUCUAGUGGGUUUAGAAUUUUCAUAUUUGGGUGAAUUACCUCUUUAAUGUUUUAUUUUGUUAUAUUUUUUGUUAACAUGAGAUCCUUGUUUUAUGUGUUUUAUGUUAUUUCCUCUGUAGUUGUAUAUAAUAUCUGUUACUCUUGUAAAUAAUUUGGGUUUGUUGUUUUAGUAAGUUUUUAAAAUAAUUUUCAAAAAUGUGACUGAAUUUUUUUUUUUCAAACAUUGCUAUGCUUUACACACAUUAAAUCAAUUACAAAUACAUUACUUUGAAAUAGCUGAAAUAAUGGAACUACUAAAAGGGGUCAUAUGAUGCUGCUAAAAAGAACAUUAUUUUGUGUAUUUGGUGUAAUGAAAUGUGUUUAUGCGGUUUAAGGUUAAAAAAACUAAUUAUUUUCUACAUAAUGUACAUUAUUGUUUCUCCUCUAUGCCCCGCCUUUCUGAAACGCGUCCAUUUUUACAAAGCUCAUCAUUUUGAAAAGCUAGGUGUGCUCUGAUUAGCCAGCUAUCCAUUGUGUUGUGAUUUGCCGAAUACUUCAAGCAUGUGACAUAAAUGUUACACCCCCUAACAUACUGUGAUGCCGUGUGUCCCGGUGCGACGAGACAAAACCAUUAAAC